rnacentral:rRNA from 1 species
AGCGAACGCUGGCGGCAGGCCUAACACAUGCAAGUCGAACGAACUCUUCGGAGUUAGUGGCGGACGGGUGAGUAACACGUGGGAACGUGCCUUUUGGUUCGGAAUAACUCAGGGAAACUUGUGCUAAUACCGAAUGUGCCCUUCGGGGGAAAGAUUUAUCGCCAUUAGAGCGGCCCGCGUCUGAUUAGCUAGUUGGUGAGGUAACGGCUCACCAAGGCGACGAUCAGUAGCUGGUCUGAGAGGAUGACCAGCCACACUGGGACUGAGACACGGCCCAGACUCCUACGGGAGGCAGCAGUGGGGAAUCUUGCGCAAUGGGCGAAAGCCUGACGCAGCCAUGCCGCGUGAAUGAUGAAGGUCUUAGGAUUGUAAAAUUCUUUCACCGGGGACGAUAAUGACGGUACCCGGAGAAGAAGCCCCGGCUAGCUUCGUG